rnacentral:tRNA from 1 species
GGGCCCUUAGCUCAGUCUGGUAAGAGCGCUCGGCUCAUAACGAAGCCGGUGUCUCCGGAAUCGUGGGAUACCGAGUGGUCGUUGGUUCGAAUCCGACAGGGCCCA